GGCGCCGGCGGCGGGGCGAGGAGGAGGACCGGUGCGCGGCGAAGAAGAGGGUUUAGGUGGCGGAGCAAGGAGCUAAGGUACCGCCUCUUCCCCUUCUUUAUGGUGAGAUACCUCUCUCUCCCCGGUCUCGCGGUAAGUGCGCGCCACUGGUGGUCCGCCUCCAUCCUCCCUCCCCCAGACCCGCCGUGACGAAGGGGACACGCUGCACAAGCACGCCCGCGCUCCCGACCUCCUCCCUCUCCCUGGGCACGCAGGCACGUUGUUGCACUGGUAGAGCGGACACCGCGGAAGCAGUCGUCAAUUCGUUUAGUGGUCAAACACCUGUUGCCGCUCUUAACGCCGCUCCACCUACGCCGUGUCUGCGCGUCAUGUAGUGAUAUCUAAGGGGAGAUCGCGAAGCAGGUGUCCUAAUCCUCAACCGACCCUGCUCGUUUUAGCACUAAUCGUCGUCGGACUUAACUGGGUCGUACGUAUCCCCAAGUAAGUUCAAUAAUCACGUACCAGUACAGGUGGUCUCCUCUACCCCCCGCUCUACCUUGAAAGUAGACCCAGUUCUAGAAAGAAAAAACCUUACCUCCUACCUCCGUACGUAACCCAACCACUCUACCUGUUGUACACCCCGCACCCCCCGGAAAAACGCAAGGACAAAGUCUUAGUCUUCCCUUGAGUGCAGGAAAAAGCACGUGCACUAGCCCCUCCCAACGACUAACCACGUGCUCUCUAAAAAAGGACAAAGACUAACCACGCGCCCCCGGUCAACAACCCUGAAGGACAAAACCAAGGAGAAAAAUCUGCCC
rnacentral:rRNA from 1 species